rnacentral:rRNA from 1 species
AGAGUUUGAUCCUGGCUCAGAUGAACGCUAGCGGCAGGCCUAAUACAUGCAAGUCGAACGGUUAUAGGGAUUAGCAAUAGUUUUUAUGAUAGUGGCGCACGGGUGCGUAACGCGUAUGCAACCUACCUUCAAGUGGGGGAUAACUCUGGGAAACUGGAAUUAAUACCGCAGAAUAUAGUAAUGCUUCGUGGUGUAGCUAUUAAAGAUUUAUCGAUUGAAGAUGGGCGUGCGUGACAUUAGUUAGUUGGUGAGGUAACGGCUCACCAAGACUUCGAUGUCUAGGGGUUCUGAGAGGAUGAUCCCCCACACUGGUACUGAGAUACGGACCAGACUCCUACGGGAGGCAGCAGUAAGGAAUAUUGAUCAAUGGACGCAAGUCUGAACCAGCCAUGCCGCGUGCAGGACGAAGGCCCUCUGGGUUGUAAACUGCUUUUGUAUAGGAAGAAACGCUCCGACGUGUCGGAGUUUGACGGUACUAUAAGAAUAAGGAUCGGCUAACU